GGUUGUUCCUAUUAAUCAGUUCAUCAAGUUUUACUGAGCACCUAUUACUAUCUGUGUACUACAAUUAUGUAAUUAAGCCAUGCUACCUUGAGCUUUUUAAAGAGCUAUGGGAGCCAUUUUAAAUCUUCCCAAUCAAUGGCAGGAUUAUAUUUGUCUUCAUCUCCACUCCACUGGUAGCUGGCUUGGCCAGGCCACUUACCUGGCCAACAGGAUGUGAAUGAAAUUGCUGGACACUACCUCUGGGCCAAAGCUUUAAGAGUCAUUCAUUGUGGCUCGGGCCACUCUAUUCUUUUUGCAACAAAAAAGGGGCCAAGGGGGAAUCCCAGGGAAGAGUUACUUUUUCAGCCUGGAUCCUAGAAUUUGAAAGAUGUGAAGCAGAGUUCCUGCCCACCUGCAGCCAACAUGUAAUAUGAAAUUAAUACACCUUGGAUUUUGGAUGACACUAAGAUUUUGUGCUUAUUGCUGUAGCAUAACCUAUUGAGAGCUGAACAAUACAGACAUUCUGUCCAUCAA